UUCGUCGCCAUAAAUUGCUCUCUCUGAUUACCUGUUAUCCGAUUCGAUUCUUUAUCCAAUACCUCAACUUAAUACUGCCGUUUAACUAUUCCUCUUUGCCGCGCUUGUUUUGUUCCUUUCCGACCCGCACGAGAAUGUUUAGGAGCUUCUUUUUUGUUUACUGUGGUUAUCCACCGUGACUAUACAUUGAUUGAUUGGUUGGGUGGUUGAUUUUGGUUUCAGAUUUGUGUUCAAAACUAUAGUAUCUACUUUCAAGAAAAGAAUAUCGUGUCUUGUUUUGAUGGAGGAGAAGACAAAGAUUUUGUAAAAGAGUGUAAUGAUGGGUUCUUUGCAACAACCUGUUUGGACCAAGGGUGUGAUUUCCCCUGCAAAAGGGUAUGGGAAUAAAAACAGAGUUUUACCUCGACUAAAGUUCUUCAAUGUUAGAAGGAGGUUUGGUCACUCCGAGCACGACCUCUUUGUCUUUCGUCGUGGCAUCCGAUUUGAGAGUUUGAUUUUUAUGCGCCCUGUUAUAUCAUUUUUGUGUUUUGAUGUUCUGUAUAGUCACGCUGGUUUAUAUACAGUUACUUGAAUUUAUGAAUAAUAAUGAUCUCUUUUAUACAUCUUGAGCAGUGAUGGAAGCGCCUGGCUCCUGCCUAACAAACAAGUACGGAUAACGGGUAAAAGGUAAUGAAUGGUCUAGUUACUUAAAAGACAUUUUUUAUUCAUUUUCUGGAAUCUGUUUUCUGUUUCAUAUUUUCAAGACUUUAGAGAAUACAUCUGUUAUGGUAUUAUGGUGGCAAUGAGUACAUUGAUGCGCUUGAAACCCUAUGUCUAGAAAGGCAGUGGCUGCAUUUCGUGUGGAUGUUAUCUUCAACCAUUAUCUGGUUACCCAGCUAAUUUUUCAGUAUACAAUGCAAUUCUUAAACCGCAUGAUCGAAUAAUGGUAAUCUGUUUUCUUCACACUUGAUUUUGCAUAAUUAACUCCUGGUAUCAUUUGAUUAAGCAUGUACGUAUUCAUGUGAGUUUGCAUUUGUUCCUUUUUCUAUUUUUCGACGAAAAGAAAAGAUGGAUAAAUUUUUGGUUUCACAUAAAUAUUUUUAAAAUAAAAUAAUAAAUUAAGAUAAACUUAUUAUUUUAACAUUUUUGUUUGCACAUGUUAAACACCUCUCUUAAAUAAAAUAAACAAAUUGCCCUCUCUUAUCGUGUCUCAGUUAAUGAACUCAAGUUUGCCCCAUCAAACAUGUUUUAAGAAAAUUAAAUCUUAUAUUUUCUCAUCAAUUUUGUUUGGUACGUUUUUAUUAUUCAAUUUUUUUUUCUUUGCCCUACGCAAGUGGCAAUUGAUGCAAUUGUGAGUUUUAAUGAGAUUUCAAGUUGUAACCUUAUUCUUCGGUCAAUGGGCAUUGUAUGAGCUCUUGAACCAAUUGAAAGAAAAUUCUUCUGCUUCAACAUACUGCAUGCCAUAUCCAGGACAGUUAUGUCAAAACCAUUGUUUUGGGGAGUGUUUGGAGUCGUGACUUCAUGUUCUGUCAUUCUUAGCACAGAAAUAUUCAAAGACUCUAGAAGUAUAUUCUCCCCCUCCAUUUGUCCUUAUAAUUUUUAUAGCUUUCCCACUAUAAUUUUCAACAGCAGCCUUGAAUCUCUUGAAUGUUGCAAAAACAUCACUCUUGGCUUUAAUCAGAUACACCCACAUCAUUCUGUUGUAACUUGCAUUCAUCUAUAAAAGACACAAUACUUAUUUUGUCCUGGAGAAGGUACUUCAAACGGACCACACACAUCAGAAUAUGUCACAUGCAACAAAUCAGUGACUCUCACAUGCAUAUGGGAUUUGAAAGAAGUUCAUGGUUGUUUUCCAAGUAAACAUUCUUCACACAUUUUAUCUGGCAGAGAUAUAUUGUGUAAUCCAAUCACCAUUUUCUAAUCAGCUAAUUUGUUUAAACUCUGACAAUUAAAAUGACCAAACCUUAUGUGCCAAAUCUAAUUUGAUUCGUCCAAAACAGUGGCUGCAAAGCACUGUUUUUCAACCUGAUGCAGCUUGAUCUGAAAGGUUAUGUUCUUUGACAAAGGGGACUUUAACACCAAUUUCUGUCUUGAAUCAUAAACUUUCAGCAACUCAUCCUUUGGUAACUAAGAAGCCUUUCUCAACUAGUUGUCCUACAUUUAGCUAGUUACCUUUCAUGCCAGUAACGUAAAGAAAACUCUUGAUUAUUACAACAACAAUGUAGUCAAACUUGGAGGAUAAUGUCUACAAGACUUUUUCUACCAUAUUCUGUUCUAUAUGGAAUUUGUCAGCAAGUGCAUACUGUUGAAGUAGUCUGCCACAGAUUCUUGAUCAAGCAUAAAGAACAGCUUGUAUUGUCGUCAAAGACACUGUAGCUUCACUUUCUUGGUCUUUUCAGCACCUCCAUAUGCCCUUUGCAGAAUAUCCCAAACCUCCUUUGUUGUUUGGGCUUUGGCAAUCUUUUUAAAGUUAACAAGAUCCACACACUGAUGCAGAAGACAGCGUGCCUUGAAGUCCUUUUUCUUGGUUGCUGUAUCCGCCUUCUCUGCAGUGCCUUCUUUCACGGUAUCGAGAUCACCUCCAUUUUUAUCACCCGGUGAUCAUUAUUCAUUGUAAAUUAUAAACAUACAAAAUUUAUAGUAAACGCUCAAAUUUAUUGUAAAUUAUGUUUAUGCGCGCGCGCCACACACACAUAUGUAUAUAUAAAUAUAUAUAACUUUUACA